rnacentral:rRNA from 1 species
ACGAACGCUGGCGGCGCGCCUAACACAUGCAAGUCGAACGAGUGAGAGGGAGCUUGCUCCCUCAAGCGAGUGGCGAACGGGUGAGUAACGCGUGAGGAACCUGCCUCAAAGAGGGGGACAACAGUUGGAAACGACUGCUAAUACCGCAUAAGCCCACGACCCGGCAUCGGGUUGAGGGAAAAGGAGCAAUCCGCUUUGAGAUGGCCUCGCGUCCGAUUAGCUAGUUGGUGAGGUAACGGCCCACCAAGGCGACGAUCGGUAGCCGGACUGAGAGGGUGAACGGCCACAUGGGGACUGAGACAAGGCCCAGACUCCUACGGGAGGCAGCAGUGGGGAAUAUUGCACAAUGGGGGAAACCCUGAUGCAGCGACGCCGCGUGGAGGAAGAAGGUCUUGGGAUUGUAAACUCCUGUUGUUGAGGAAGAUAAUGACGGUACUCAACAAGGAAGUGACGGCUAACUACGUGCCAGCCGCCGCCGUAA